rnacentral:rRNA from 1 species
UACGGGGGGAGCAAGCGUUGUUCGGAUUUACUGGGCGUAAAGGGCGCGUAGGCGGCCUCCGCAAGUCAGUUGUGAAAUCUCCGAGCUUAACUCGGAAAGGUCAACUGAUACUGCGGGGCUAGAGUGCGGAAGGGGCAACUGGAAUUCUUGGUGUAGCGGUGAAAUGCGUAGAUAUCAAGAGGAACACCUGCGGCGAAGGCGGGUUGCUGGGCCGACACUGACGCUGAGGCGCGAAAGCCAGGGGAGCAAACGGG